GGGGACGUAGCUCAGUCCGGGAGAGCGUCUCGUUCGCAACGAGAAGGUCGGGGGUUCGAUUCCCCUCGUCUCCACCA
rnacentral:tRNA from 13 species